rnacentral:lncRNA from 1 species
UUUGGAGCUCAUUUGCUAAGUGGUCAAACUUGGUCAACGCUUGAAUAUUCAUCUUGUUCAUCCAUGAUCUUCAUAACUUAGUAAAGAAGAGUAUUCAAGGUUCUUGUUUGAUCCAAAAAAGGGAAGAAAGAGUGUGAAAAAGUUGUUUGUCCAAAAGCAUAUUCAAAGAAUAUUUCAUUCUUCCAAAAAGAGGAGGGGACAAGAGGACAAACAAAGUACAAGUGCAUUUAUUAGGGGG